rnacentral:lncRNA from 1 species
AAUUCAUACUGACCUAGAACCCUGAAAACAUCUAUACAUCCUAUGGAUAUAUAAUUUUCAUAUAAUUGACGACGACGCUGUAACGAUUCCCACGAAUUUUGUUAUUCUUUUUUUUAAAAAAAGAAUGUUCAUCCCUUAUAACUAAAACUAGAACAUUCUUUGGGAAUUCCCCAAGAAUAAACAUCUAAUGAACCAUUUUUUUUCUAAAUAGCACAAACAAACACUUUAUGUCACUCAUACGCACAUUUUAUUUUACCUUAAAUCAUACAAAAAAAAUAUAUAUUAGAUAAUCUUUUUUGUUUAUCAUUUUAUCGCCAUAAAUUCAUACAUAAAUAGAUGAAAAAGUCAACAAAAAAAAACAUCCAUUGCCCAUUUGUCAGUGUAUUCAGUCAAUCAAAUAUCACAAUACAUUGCCAUAAAAAGGUAAAUAAUCAUAUCAACACCGAACAAACUUGACAGGAAACCACCAACAAAAAAAAACUUGAGACCAAUUUACAUCGGUAAAAUUUAUAUGUAGGCGAAUACACAAAAAUCUGAUUUUUUUAAAGGAAUCAAGUUUAUUUUAUCAUCUCUUUAUCUUCAAGAUAUGAUCAUAAUUGAUGGAAAAGAACUGCUAU